AUUCUGGCUCAGGAUGAACGCUGGCGGCAGGCUUAAUACAUGCAAGUUGAACGGUAACAUGUUGUAGCAAUACGAUGAUGACGAGUGGCGCACGGGUGCGUAACACGUGUGUAACCUACCUUAUACAGGAACAUAACGUUGAGAAAUCGGCGCUAACAUUCCAUAAUAUUAUUUGUAGGCAUCUAUGAAUAAUUAAAACUCCGGUGGUAUAAGAUGGGCACGCGUUCCAUUAGCUAGUUGGUAAGGUAACGGCUUACCAAGGCAACGAUGGAUAGGGUUCUGAGAGGAUAAUCCCCCACACUGGAACUGAGACACGGUCCAGACUCCUACGGGAGGCAGCAGUAAGGAAUAUUGGGCAAUGGAGGCAACUCUGACCCAGCCAUGCCGCGUGCAGGAAGACGGCCCUAUGGGUUGUAAACUGCUUUUAAUAGGGAUUAAAGUCGACUACGUGUAGUUGUUUGCAAGUACCUAUAGAAUAAGCAUCGGCUAACUCCGUGCCAGCAGCCGC
rnacentral:rRNA from 1 species